UCCGGGUUUCCCCAUUCGGCGAUUGGGACGAAGUCGUAACAAGGUAGCCGUACCGGAAGUUGCGGCUGGGUCACCUCCUUUCUAAGGAGCACCACGAGACCUGCGUCGGCCCCGUAAAUUGCGGGAUCAGCUGAGCGUUAGGCGAUUCGUUGGAUGGCUCGACCUCUGUAGUGGAGGCGGGUCUGGUGCAUCAACAAACGUGGGUCCCUUUUGGGGGCUAUUACUGCCAGGCACACUAUUGGGCUUUGAGACAACAGGCCCAGCGGGAUCCGCGCCUGUGUGGUGGGGGUUGCCGGCCGCGAGUACUGGGUGUUUUCCUGGUGUGGACGGUUGCUGUUGUCGCCCUGCUUUGGUGGUGGGGUGUGGUGUUUGAUUUGUGGAUAGUGGUUGCGAGCAUCUCGCAUACAAGAAGGCUCCGGCUGGGGUUCCUCUGGUUUUUCUGGGGGUUCUGUGGUUGGGGUGUUGUUGUGUGUGUUUGAUGUGCAAUUUCUUUUUCUUUUUCUGGUUUUUUGUGUUGUAAGUGUUUAAGGGCGCAUGGUGGAUGCCUUGGCAUCAGGAGCCGAUGAAGGACGUGGGAGGCUGCGAUAUGCCUCGGGGAGCUGCCAACCGAGCGUGGAUCCGAGGGUGUCCGAAUGGGGAAACCCGGA
rnacentral:misc_RNA from 1 species